rnacentral:rRNA from 1 species
UACGUAGGAGGCAAGCGUUGUCCGGAAUCACUGGGCGUAAAGAGCGUGUAGGCGGUCUGCCAAGUCUGUUGUGAAAGCGCCUGGCUUAACUGGGCGAGGUCGACGGAAACUGGCAAACUGGAGGCCGGUAGAGGAGGGUGGAAUUCCCGGUGUAGUGGUGAAAUGCGUAGAGAUCGGGAGGAACACCAGUGGCGAAGGCGGCCCUCUGG